rnacentral:lncRNA from 1 species
AAGAUAAGCCUUCAUCCCAAAAUGGAGAGAUUCCUUUUGUCCUUUAAAUAUCAAUUUCUAUGUUCUUAUUUUAAUCUUUCUUGGUGGGGAACUUCUAACCAGAAUCUGAUGCAUUGAAUGUGGAGGCUGAAUUGGAUCCAAACUUUUCUUUUCUUUUCUUUUUUUUUAUUUUUUAUUUUUUCAGAAUAAUCAUCAUGCUAAUUAUAUUUUUACUUCAUCAACCAACCUGUGUGAUUCCCUUCCCUAUCUUUUUUUAUUUCAUAUAAACACAUUCUAUAAAAUAUUUUAUAGGUCUGGCUUCUGUCACACCAGAAUUAGAUUAGCUCAAAGAAAAAACAUAAACAAGGUUGCUUUUCUGUCAUGGAGAUUUUAGACACCACAAAAUC